ACUCAAAUGAAUAGACGGGGGCCCGCACAAGCGGCGGAGCAUGCGGCUUAAUUCGACGCAACGCGAAGAACCUUACCAAGGCUUGACAUAUAGGGAAAUCUCACAGAGAUGUGAGGUCCGCAAGGGCCCUAUACAGGUGGUGCAUGGUUGUCGUCAGCUCGUGUCGUGAGAUGUUGGGUUAAGUCCCGCAACGAGCGCAACCCUCGUUCAAUGUUGCCAGCACGUAAUGGUGGGGACUCAUUGGAGACUGCCGGGGUCAACUCGGAGGAAGGUGGGGAUGACGUCAAAUCAUCAUGCCCCUUAUGUCUUGGGCUGCACGCAUGCUACAAUGGCAGAUACAAAGGGCUGCGAUACCGUAAGGUGGAGCGAAUCCCAAAAAGUCUGUCUCAGUUCGGAUUGGGGUCUGCAACUCGACCCCAUGAAGUCGGAGUCGCUAGUAAUCGCAGAUCAGCAACGCUGCGGUGAAUACGUUCCCGGGCCUUGUACACACCGCCCGU
rnacentral:rRNA from 1 species